ACCAGACACUCUACCACCCAAAACCCUCCCUUUCCUUUCUCCCGUGACCGUAACCCUCGCGUUUUAGUCGCGGCUAGAUUUAGGAAGACAGCGACGGGAUUCCGGCGUACAGAGACAUCCGAAACUCACAUCUUUGUUGUUCUUUCGUCCACUUCUGCCGGAAACCAUUGAGGAAGGUAACCGUAGUCUUUCUACCCUUCCUCCAACCUCCCUUCGCGCGCUUCAGCUCGUCUAAAUGCCUUAAAUCCAUCUUCCAAAGGGAUUUACUGUACCGGGAUUUAAGGCCAAAAUGAGGAGAAACGGGAUUUCAGAUCUCUAGACAUCUUGAGGAGCAAGGUAGAAUUCUUCUGGAAGCAUAUAGAGCAAUGUCCCAUGAAUUGCAUAAUCUUCAUAGCCCAAGCCGACUCACAAGUGGGCUUGGCUUAGCUGCACCCCUACCUCUGUCUUCCACUUUUGAGGUCAAAGGCAAUACCACUCAACCUAUCGUUCUUUGGUCGAGGAAGAAAUGCUUAUGCGCAAGCUUUACGAGCACAUGUUAGCUGAAGGCUUGGUCAAAAAGAAGCAAGGAGAACCGC